ACGGAAGGCAGCAGUAGGGAAUCUUCGGCAAUGGGGGCAACCCUGACCGAGCAACGCCGCGUGCGUGAAGAAGGUUUUCGGAUCGUAAAGCUCUGUUGUAAGAGAAGAACGUGUGUGAGAGUGGAAAGUUCACACAGUGACGGUAACUUACCAGAAAGGGCCGGCUAACUACGUGCCAGCAGCCGCGGUAAUACGUAGGUCCCGAGCGUUGUCCGGAUUUAUUGGGCGUAAAGCGAGCGCAGGCGGUUUAAAAAGUCUGAAGUUAAAGGCAGUGGCUUAACCAUGGUUCGCUUUGGAAACUGUUAGACUUGAGUGCAGGAGGGGAGAGUGGAAUUCCAUGUGUAGCGGUGAAAUGCGUAGAUAUAUGGAGGAACACCGGUGGCGAAAGCGGCUUUCUGGUCUGUAACUGACGCUGAGGCUCGAAAGCGUGGGGAGCAAACAGGAUUAGAUACCCUGGUA
rnacentral:rRNA from 1 species